rnacentral:snRNA from 1 species
CUCUCUUCUUUUUGUUCGUUUGUU